CAGUCGCCGCGGUAAUGCGAAGGGUGCAAGCGUUACUCGGAAUUACUGGGCGUAAAGCGUGCGUAGGUGGUGGUUUAAGUCCGUUGUGAAAGCCCUGGGCUCAACCUGGGAAUUGCAGUGGAUACUGGGUCACUAGAGUGUGGUAGAGGAUAGUGGAAUUUCCGGUGUAGCAGUGAAAUGCGUAGAGAUCGGAAGGAACAUCUGUGGCGAAGGCGACUAUCUGGGCCAACACUGACACUGAGGCACGAAAGCGUGGGGAGCAAACAGGAUUAGAUACCCCUGUAGUCCCUGUCUCUUAUAC
rnacentral:rRNA from 1 species